AUUGAACGCUGGCGGCAUGCCUUACACAUGCAAGUCGAACGGCAGCACGGGAGCAAUCCUGGUGGCGAGUGGCGAACGGGUGAGUAAAGUAUCGGAACGUGCCCAGUCGUGGGGGAUAACGUAGCGAAAGUUACGCUAAUACCGCAUACGAUCUAUGGAUGAAAGCGGGGGAUCGCAAGACCUCGCGCGAUUGGAGCGGCCGAUAUCAGAUCAGGUAGUUGGUGGGGUAAAGGCUCACCAAGCCGACGAUCUGUAGCUGGUCUGAGAGGACGACCAGCCACACUGGGACUGAUACACGGCCCAGACUCCUACGGGAGGCAGCAGUGGGGAAUUUUGGACAAUGGGCGAAAGCCUGCUCCAGCCAUGCCGCGUGCAGGAUGAAGGCCUUCGGGUUGUAAACUGCUUUUGUACGGAACGAAAAGGUUUGGCCUAAUAAGCUGAGCUCAUGACGGUACCGUAAGAAUAAGCACCGGCUAACUACGUGCCAGCCGCCGCCGUAA
rnacentral:rRNA from 1 species